AUUCCCUAAAUGAUCAUGUGAAGGUAUUUUGAUGUUAUUCUUGUUCUGCUUUUGAAUUUCAUUAUAAUUCUAUAUUUAUUGACUGAUGGGUGUAUGCUAUUUCUAUCAGAAGUUUUUGACUUGUGCGAUUUUAGUGUUUUAUUAGCAUGGCCGUGAAUUGGAGAAAUUUUUAUAACUAUUUUUGUUUGUUCAUUUCUGAAAGGGUUUUGUGGUUUUUUCUGAUAAUAGGAGUCUGAAUUUUGUGCCAGAAAUUUUUAUGCAUUAUGGAUAGAGUACUCGGUGAUUAGGAGAAGAAUACAAAUUAUCUGGUUUUGGUUUAGUUGUUUGCUUUAUGCUUGAAAUGUUGGUAUUUUUAUUGCAAAAGUGAUCUUAUUUUAUUUCUCAUGCUUUGAUCCUAUACUUUUGAAAUUGCUAUGCAUUAUAGUUUCCUUUUCUGUUACAAGGCUUCAUUAACUUUAAAGUGUAGUUUAUGCUUUACAGUUUUUAGUAAAUUACCCUUAUUAGAUGUUCUCCACUAGGAUUUGUAAACGAUCUGAGCCUUAGCUAGUUAUAUUUUUUUUUAGGCUUGAGCUUGGCUUGUACUCAUUCAAAUUUUAAUAUUAUAACUUGAGCUCAGGUCGUUUUGAAUAUGAUAAGCUUGAGCUCAAUUUGAGCUUGGCCCGUCUAAAG
rnacentral:misc_RNA from 1 species